GUAGGUGAACCUGCGGAAGGAUCAUUAACACGUAUCCAACGUACACUUGCUCUUGAAGCACAUGUUAAAUUGCAAUCCCUGGUAAAUCAUUGUUGAACAGAUUUUGAUUCAGGGACCUCAGUUUAUUGGGCUUUGAUUGAAGCGAUCGUUGCAAGCGACCUGGUUUCCCCAAGCAUUCGUGUCUGAAAGUGGCAUUGUAUGCGUAAGGAUAACGCCAUCGAUCGGUGAACAGGACGCCGUGGCCCUCGGCCCCCCAUAUUAACCCCACUACCAAUACUCGCCUCGUAGGAAACUGCUAGACAACAAAACGAACAACUGUUAACAAUGGAUAUCUUGGUUCUC
rnacentral:misc_RNA from 1 species